GGGCGGGUGGCGAAAUUGGCAGACGCGCUAGUCUCAGAAGCUAGUGAGAGCGAUCUCUUGAGGGUUCAAGUCCCUCCUCGCCCACAA
rnacentral:tRNA from 4 species